CGCACGGGUGAGUAACACGUAUCCAACCUGCCGUCUACUCUUGGCCAGCCUUCUGAAAGGAAGAUUAAUCCAGGAUGGCAUCAUGAGUUCACAUGUCCGCAUGAUUAAAGGUAUUUUCCGGUAGACGAUGGGGAUGCGUUCCAUUAGAUAGUAGGCGGGGUAACGGCCCACCUAGUCAACGAUGGAUAGGGGUUCUGAGAGGAAGGUCCCCCACAUUGAAACUGAGACACGGUCCAA
rnacentral:rRNA from 1 species